AGCAGCCGCGGUAAUUCCAGCUCCAAUAGCGUAUAUUAAAGUUGUUGCAGUUAAAAAGCUCGUAGUUGAAUUUCGGGAUUGACACAUCGGUCGUGCCUUAAGGGGUAUGAACUGGUGUAGUCAAUUUCUCACCUUCUGGAGAACCGCGCUGUCCUUAAUUGGGUGACGCGGGGAACCAGGACCUUUACUUUGAAAAAAUUAGAGUGUUUAAAGCAGGCAUUUUGCUUGAAUACAUUAGCAUGGAAUAAUAAAAUAGGACGGCAUGAUUCUAUUUUGUUGGUUUCUAGGAUCACCGUAAUGAUUAAUAGGGAUAGUUGGGGGCAUUAGUAUUCAAUUGUCAGAGGUGAAAUUCUUGGAUUUAUUGAAGACUAACUACUGCGAAAGCAUUUGCCAAGGAUGUUUUCAUUAAUCAAGAACGAAAGUUAGGGAUACGAAGACGA
rnacentral:rRNA from 1 species